rnacentral:rRNA from 1 species
UACAGAGGUCCCGAGCGUUUGUUCGGAUUCACUGGGCGUAAAGGGUGCGUAGGUGGUGAGGUAAGUCGGAUGUGAAAUCUCCGAGCUCAACUCGGAAAUGGCAUUGGAAACUACCUUGCUCGAGGGUUGGAGGGGGGGACUGGAAUACUUGGUGUAGCAGUGAAAUGCGUAGAUAUCAAGUGGAACACCAGUGGCGAAGGCGAGUCCCUGGACAACUCCUGACACUGAGGCACGAAAGCUAGGGGAGCAAACAGG